rnacentral:lncRNA from 10 species
ACUAUUAAGAAGAAACAAGAAUGAACUAAAAAAACCCUAAAAAAUUUCAGACCUGACACAUCCUAAGAACAUGUCUGAAAGACUCUCAGAAUCUUUAGCCAGACAAAUGGUCUCAGACUUUGCCAGGACAAAGUUGCAUUAUAAACACUGACAGGUAGCUUUUUUUAAUGUUCAAAUUUCAAUUGAAGAUUACAAUGUAUACAAAAUAUUAGGGCAACAUAGCCCUAUCAAUUAUUAUAAAAUUUUCAGAAAGCAAGCAUUAAAAAAUGAAGAUACAGGCUGGGCAUGGUGGCUCAUGUCUGUAAUUCCAGCACUUUGGGAGGAUGAGGUGGGGAGAUGACCUGAUGUCAGGAGUUCAAGACCAGCCUGGCCAAUGCAGAGCAAGAUUCUGCCUCAAAAACAAAAACAAAACAAAACAAAAAAAGAUGCACAAAUAUAUUUUAAAAAUUUAAAAUAAAUUGAAUAAUACUCCACUAGUGUAACAGGAACACAGACAACUAUUAAAAAUCAGAAAAAUGGGAAUAACAACAAAAACAAUGAAAGAUAUUAAAAAACAAAUUGUGGAGGGAAAAAAUACAAAAAAUAACUGAAAUACUGUAAGAUAAAAUGAUGUAAAAAUGAAAAGGCUCAACAAACUAGAAUACACACAAAGAUAUUUAUAUAACAAGCACAUAUAUAAGCACAAUUUAAAAAGUCACAGACAAGAGAAUCUUGGGAGCUGCAAGAUGAAAAUAAUGUGUCAUUUAUAAGCAUAAUCUUAUGAGAUAACCAGUUAAUUUUUCAUGAAAGUUUUGCAGGCCAGAAGAAAACUGUGUGACAUAAUCAAAGUCCUGAAGAAAACAGCUGUCAAGUGAGAAUAAUACCAGCAGCAAAACUGUCCUGCCAAAUAAAAAGACCUUCCAAAAUAACCAAAUCCUGAAAAAGUAUAUUGGCACUGCCAUUUGUGCUACAUAUCAAAGAUGCUGAAAGGAGUUUCUUCCACUAAAAAUGACACAAUGCAAGAAAGCAACACAUAAUCAUAUGAAAAUACAUAAAUUUCUGGGAAAGACAUGCACAUACACAAAAAUGGAAUUCCUUAGCAUUAUCAUAAUAGUGCAGAAAACAUUUCUAAUUAUUCUCUAAAAUGUGAAAGAUAAAAGCAUAAAAAUUUUUAUAAACAUCUGCUAACAUACCACAUAGAAAAAUACAAUUAGCAACAUCACCAACAAAAUUGAGAACAAAUGUAAUGAGAAAGAAUUGUUGAAUGCAACUGAAGUUUAUUUUUUACCAGGUUAAAAUAU